UACGUCGGGGGCUAGCGUUGUCCGGAUUUAUUGGGCGUAAAGAGCGUGUAGGCGGCCAGGUAGGUCUGGUGUGAAAACUCGAGGCUUAACCUCGAGAUGUCAUCGGAAACCAUUUGGCUAGAGUCCGGAAGAGGAAAGUGGAAUUCCUGGUGUAGCGGUGAAAUGCGCAGAUAUCAGGAAGAACACCAAUGGCGAAAGCAGCUUUCUGGGACGGUACUGACGCUGAGACGCGAAAGCGUGGGGAGCGAACAGG
rnacentral:rRNA from 1 species